GAUGAACGCUAGCGGCAGGCCUAAUACAUGCAAGUCGGACGGGAAGCAGGAGCUUGCUUCUGAUGAGAGUGGCGCAAGGGUGCGUAAAACGUAUGUAACCUACCUUUAUCAGGGGGAUAGACCCUCGAAAGAGAGAUGAAGCCCGCAUAAAAUAACAGCACAGCAUUGUGUAAGGAUCCAAUAUUUAGAGGAUAAAGAUGGGAAUGCUGAACAUUAGCUAGAUGGCGGGGUAACGGCCCACCAAGGCGACGAUGGGGAGGGGAUCUGCGGGGAUGGCCCCCCACACUGUUACUGGGCCCCUUACCACUGUCCUACGGGCGGCAGCCGUACGGGAGACUGCUCAGGGGGCUGUAGCCUGAUCCAGCCAUGCCGCGUGCAGGAAGACGGCCCUCCGGGUUGUAGCCUGCUUUUAUACGGGAAUAUUCCCAGAUACGUGUAUCUGGCUGACUGUACUGGAAGAAUAAGGACCGGCUAACUCCGUG
rnacentral:rRNA from 1 species